UCAGCGGCUCUUCAUUCUGGCCUCAAGCAGGAGAAGGAUCAUGGCUACGUCUCCACUUACCUCCUGGAGCCCGACAAGGAACCCUUAAGUGGGGUCCAGGAAUCUGCCUUUUGAAACAGCUUCCUUCCGUAAUACAGCUACAAGGACCGCGUGGACAGCACCCCGCUCAGCCGCUCAACCAUAAAUUCCAAAGGGACCAGGGACAAAGUCUUCCUGAUAGGAUGUUCUGGCCCCGAGUCCCGGCUCUUGCGACUUUGCAGCCACCUGACUUUGGACAGUUUCCUUUUUCUGGCCUCAACUUUCUUGUCUGUACGCUCAGGAGGUUGAGUUAGAGCAAUGUUUUCAAACUGGGCUCUGUCAUACCUCAGGGGAUUGCACCUUGGCUGCCCACCUCCAUUAAUCCAUUUAGCAAAUAUUCAUGGCACCGGGCGGAUACCGGGGGUGUUCCAGGGUCAGCGAUUAAUUAUCAUGAUGGGCGUUCUUUCCAAAGAAGUGCGACAAGGGGUAAGAGGGAGCUCACAAAGACGGCUUACGUUGUGCGUGUCCUUCCGCUUGAAUUGCCGUUUGGACAAACUGCUCCCGGGAUUGAAACUGCUGGCUUAGAUCAUCUUAAGGGUCCUUGCGGCAGGAAACCUUUUGUUCUGUGAUGUUUCUUCGAUGAUUUUAUUUCUGAGCAACGUCAAAACAAGGAGAAUGCAAUUACUGGGUGUGAAAUCCGUCAGGGGCCCCCCAGGUUAACCCUUUCGUUCUGGAAAAGAAACUUCAGGCUCUUUAGAAGGUUUUCUGACAGUGAAGAACCAGCACCUUAACCUGGGAAACUGAGUGAAAGGCAGACUGGGAAGCUGCAAAGCAGCCCUGCCUGCUUGUGGAGGAAACAGCAGGCGGGGCGGGGGCGGGGGGCUCUGGACCCAGGAGCUUUCCCGUUUUUGUCUGCAGAAUGGGCAGAUGUACCUGGCCCCCAGAGUUGUUUUAAGGAGACAGAUUAUAUAUACAAAAUUAGUAGCUCAGUGCCAGAUACUUAGUAAGCAUUCAAUAAAUGAUGGCCAUUAUUAAUUUAAGUAUCUUUCUUAUGCAUAUUAUACUUGUCAACAUUCCUGCAAAUGUUUUAUAGAUGAGAAUGGAAAAGUACUCAGGAUGGGAGCUGCCAAAUAUCAGGGUUCUGCCAGGCCAACUGCAUCUCUGGGGGAAGAAAACCCUGUAAUUCCCUCUUCUUGAAACUACAUGCCCAUGGUGGCGGCCUUGAAAUUCUGAGUGUCCCUCCGCCCCAUGCCUUCCCCACAGCGCUGCCCCCCCCCCCCCACCAAAGGAGAGCAAGUUACUUUUCUCAGUAGAAAGCAAGCCAAUACCCAAAUUUGGGAUAGGUUUCCACAUUGAGGUAGAAUAAAGAUGACAGCCGUAAAUGUUGCGGAGAAAUUACAAAGAAGCCCUGAAAUCAUUCCUUUGUAUUUUUUGUAGUUGAACGCCCUAACUUUCCUUGAGACUAAACAUGCGUGCAUCUUUUAUUCUCUCUCUGGCUGGAUCCUUAGAACAGUACAGAGACUGAACACAGUUGGGAACACUUCUAUCACUUAGUUUAUGGGGUGCGACUCCACAUCUGAGCUUGGGGAAAACAUGUGGCCACAGCUUCCUUAUGUCUAAACUGAGGAUAACGAUAGACUUCACCCUCUAGGAUAAAUAGGGUGGUUAUUAGCCAUGCACACAGUAAGUGCACAGUACGUUAACUAUUGUUAUUUUCGCGUGUAUUGAUUUACUCGGUGUUUUGGUGCUCACUUAUGUAUUUUCAACUACAGACUCAUAAAAUAUAAAUUAACGUUAGCUUCUUGCA